UACGGAGGGUGCAAGCGUUGUCCGGAAUCACUGGGCGUAAAGGGCGCGUAGGCGGCUCAUGAAGGCUGUGGUGAAAGUCCGGGGCUCAACCUCGGAUCGGCCGUGGCGACUCGUGGGCUGGAGCACUGUAGAGGCGGGUGGAAUUCCGGGUGUAGCGGUAGAAUGCGUAGAGAUCCGGAAGAACACCAGUGGCGAAGGCGGCCCGCUGGGCAGUGGCUGACGCUGAGGCGCGACAGCGUGGGGAGCAAACAGG
rnacentral:rRNA from 1 species